GACGAACGCUGGCGGCGUGCUUAACACAUGCAAGUCGAACGGAAAGGCCCUGCUUUUGUGGGGUGCUCGAGUGGCGAACGGGUGAGUAACACGUGAGUAACCUGCCCUUGACUUUGGGAUAACUUCAGGAAACUGGGACUAAUACCGGAUAGGAGCUCCUGCUGCAUGGUGGGGGUUGGAAAGUUUCGGCGGUUGGGGAUGGACUCGCGGCUUAUCAGCUUGUUGGUGGGGUAGUGGCUUACCAAGGCUUUGACGGGUAGCCGGCCUGAGAGGGUGACCGGCCACAUUGGGACUGAGAUACGGCCCAGACUCCUACGGGAGGCAGCAGUGGGGAAUAUUGCACAAUGGGCGGAAGCCUGAUGCAGCAACGCCGCGUGCGGGAUAACGGCCUUCGGGUUGUAAACCGCUUUCGCCUGUGACGAAGCGUGAGUGACGGUAAUGGGUAAAGAAGCACCGGCUAACUACGUG
rnacentral:rRNA from 1 species